AGAAGUCCAAGAUCAAAGCACUGGUAGACUACGUGUCUGGAAACUUUUGAGAGAUGGGUGCUGAAUACAUUUGCUCUUUCAUCUGCUUUUGCAGUCAACAGGUUCCUGCGCCUUACCUCUGAACCAGCUGAGAAGCUGUCCCCUGGGCGCUGCUUAUACUCAAGGAAUGCACCAGCCGUCUCAAUCUCCUGUGGAAUCCAGAAGGCUAUAACUAGAAAUCCCCACACACUGGUCAUGCUGGAGUGAGGGUUGGGAGCAGACUCACACCAAGAUUGGAAGACCAUGAUGGGAAGAACAGCAGCAUUGGAGAUAGACGGCUUCACUGCCUUUCUGCUCCAUCUUGAGCAUUUGGAUGCUUGUUCUGCAAUGAAUCUCUGUUCCAGAUGUGCACGGAGAGAUGUUUUCUUUGCCAGGCACAAGACAGCAAACGUUCCAAUGGCUUUCCACUCUAGUAAUCUGGUCAGCAUGGCAGGUGUAUGCUCUUCCAUAGUGAGCAGAAAUCUAUGAGGAACACAUCUCUGUGUGUAUUUGGUGCCUUGAGAAAGUAGAUGAAGGUAACCCUUGAGAUGGAAAAAAACCCAUAUCUCAAGUUUCCUCAUUUAAAGUCUCUACCCACACCAGAUAACACUGCAGAACCAGAUGCUGAAAGUUCCUCCCGGGAAAUGGAAGCGAGUGAAGGAAAAGUCACAGUGGGAAGGGCUUGGUGAAGCUUAAACAACCUCUGAAAGAAACUUAAACCUCUUCACAGAAAAAGGCAAAGAAGAAAAUGUCGAGCUGGUAUGAUGCUUACAAAGCAAAAGGUGAACUCUUUUGACUGUAGUGUGUAUCAUGCUAAGGAAUUGGCUCAUGA